UACGUAGGGGGCAAGCGUUGUCCGGAUUAUUGGGCGUAAAGAGCGUGUAGGCGGCCUGACAGGUCUGCUGUGAAAACUCGAGGCUCAACCUCGAGAUGUCGGCGGAAACCGUCUGGCUAGAGUCCGGAAGAGGAGAGUGGAAUUCCUGGUGUAGCGGUGAAAUGCGCAGAUAUCAGGAAGAACACCUAUGGCGAAGGCAGCUCUCUGGGACGGUACUGACGCUGAGACGCGAAGGCGUGGGGAGCGAACAGG
rnacentral:rRNA from 1 species